rnacentral:rRNA from 1 species
CGAGCGGUAGCACAGAGAGCUUGCUCUCGGGUGACGAGCGGCGGACGGGUGAGUAAUGUCUGGGAAACUGCCUGAUGGAGGGGGAUAACUACUGGAAACGGUAGCUAAUACCGCAUAAUGUCGCAAGACCAAAGUGGGGGACCUUCGGGCCUCAUGCCAUCAGAUGUGCCCAGAUGGGAUUAGCUAGUAGGUGGGGUAACGGCUCACCUAGGCGACGAUCCCUAGCUGGUCUGAGAGGAUGACCAGCCACACUGGAACUGAGACACGGUCCAGACUCCUACGGGAGGCAGCAGUGGGGAAUAUUGCACAAUGGGCGCAAGCCUGAUGCAGCCAUGCCGCGUGUGUGAAGAAGGCCUUCGGGUUGUAAAGCACUUUCAGCGGGGAGGAAGGCGUUAAGGUUAAUAACCUUGGCGAUUGACGUUACCCGCAGAAGAAGCACCGGCUAACUCCGUGCCAGCAGCCGCGGUAAUACGGAGGGUGCAAGCGUUAAUCGGAAUUACUGGGCGUAAAGCGCACGCAGGCGGUCUGUCAAGUCGGAUGUGAAAUCCCCGGGCUCAACCUGGGAACUGCAUUCGAAACUGGCAGGCUAGAGUCUUGUAGAGGGGGGUAGAAUUCCAGGUGUAGCGGUGAAAUGC